rnacentral:snRNA from 1 species
CUCCCUACGCAGUGGCAGUAUCGUAGCUAAUGAGGUUAAUCCGAGGGGUGAUCAUUGCUAGUUGAAAAUUUUUCUAAAUCUU